rnacentral:rRNA from 1 species
UACGUAGGUGACAAGCGUUGUCCGGAUUUACUGGGCGUAAAGGGCGUGCAGGCGGUUUGUUAAGUGCAGGGUGAAAGCUCCCGGCUCAACUGGGAGAGGUCCUUGCAUACUGGCGAACUCGAGGGAGGCAGAGGAAAGUGGAAUUCCCGGUGUAGUGGUGAUAUGCGUAGAUAUCGGGAGGAACACCUGUGGCGAAGGCGGCUUUCUGGGCCUUACCUGACGCUGAGACGCGAAAGCGUGGGGAGCGAACCGG